GGUUCUGUGAUUUGGUGACUCUGUGAUCCCGUGACUCUGUGUUUCUGUGACUGUGGUUCUGUCACUCUGGGAUCCUGCAGAGCUCUGUCCCCAGGCACUCUCGUUUGGGGGUUGUUAUUUAGCACAAACCUGUGAGCUGUGAGGAUUGUGGCUCAUCCAGACCCUCGUUCUCUCUUGUGUCACCAGGCAGCAGGGAUUCCAAUCCUGCCGAUGGCACAGCACAGAAGGGACAGGGACAGGCAGGUCCCCUCCAGCCUCCCCAGCCAGCUGGCUGUGCCCUGUGGGGACCAGAGUGAUUAUCUGUGCUGUCCCAGGAGUUCUUUUUUAAGGAGAGGUUUAUCCAGUGUCGCUGCUGUGAGUGGCCAUGGCUGGCAGUGGAAUUAUUUAUGUCUUCUAUUGGGCUUUGAUAGUGUUUCGUGUCUCUGAAUAUAAAACUGC